rnacentral:lncRNA from 1 species
GGCUGUAUUGAUGGCAAGUCCUUGGGGAGGUCUCUGAGGCGAGGCAAGGAGACCACAGCUCUGGAGAGGUCAGAGAGCACAGGACCAGGGCAGGGCGAGGAGUUAGGGUUGCUAUUAGCUUGGUCACUUUCUUGCCAGUUUACUUAAGUGCAAAAUUGUGCAACUCAAAAGCAGUAACUGAUUUACUCAACCUCACUGAGCGCGGUGGACUUGUCCAACUUGAGCGCUCUGCACGGAAUUGUUCAUCUCCCCUCUCUGCAGCCGGACUUCCGGUCUAGGUAUUGAUUCAGACUUCCUGCUUCACAUGUGCCUUUACGUCAGCUGGGGCCGCUCAGUAGGGCCAGACACAGUGACGGGCUGAGAAAUUUCUUGCUAGCCUCUGCCUUGUAGGCUACUGUGUGGGCUUUGUGGAACCUUCUCGUCUAAGCUGUGUGUUCAUUGGACAGACCCAGUGCAGCACAGGAUACUUACCAGCUGUAGCAGGCAGGCCUGCUGUGCGCCGAGCUGUGUCCCGGGCACAUCCGGUUCAGGGCCCAGAGGCGGGCAGUUCGGGAAGCGUGGACGGCCGCGUGUCUGCUUCGCUGCCUCUUGGAGAGGCCUGACUCGGCGCAGGUGCCGCCAGGAGGUGGGGUUGGCGUCCCGUCCCCGUCCCCAGGGAGGACUUCGCCCCAGGGAGACAGGAGGCGGUGGUCAAGGCCUUGGGCCCCGGCGGGGCGGCGCGUACUGACCGGUAGGCCAGGGAGCAGCCACCUGCAGUGACCAUGGGCAGAGGGAUAAAGGACACCUGGACACUGGGGAGACAGAGCGAGGUGUUUAUUCAUCAAAUGCAGAUCCACAUCAAAUGCUGGGAGGAAGAAGUAGCUCUUCCUGGAAAAUCUGAAGACCUCUGCCAUGGGAUACAGCAGGGAAUUUCAGCUGUUUGUCCUGAGGUUCUUGGUUUCUAGAGUCCUUCCAUGUGCCCAUCAUUGCUUCUGUGACUGCAGCUCCGGCUGGUGGGACCCCAUCUUCUAACAGGAGACUAGAGGAAGGGACUGGCGCCGCUUCAUGGCUUCUUCUGUCUGGAGGAUGCCCUUUGCAGACACAGUGCUGCCGGGCUCCACAGCCUCCAGGGCUGAGGCUGCAGGUGAGGCCCCUCCAUGCCUUCUGGGAAGCUGGCCACACCUGACAUAGCCAGCACUGCUCAGAGCUCUCCAACUUUGUGCCGCUUUGGGGCAUUCUGGGCCAAUUACUACUUUCGAUGCACUCUAAUAUGUUCUGAUGUCUGACAAUGACCCAUGAACUUGAUUGCAGGACCCACAGUGAAUGAAGCAUGGUCCUCAGACUGAGAGACAUUUCAUUCUCGGUACUCAGUUCUUUGGUACCUAUAAUGGAAGGCAUUUUUCUAUGAGGACAUUUAUAUUCAUGUAUAUUAUAGAUGUAAUUUUAAGUGUG